CCCGUGAUGAGGGGCUUGAAUUUGAAUGUGUUCCUGUAUCCCUCAUGGAGCAUGUCAUCACAUUUUUAAAUGACGUUAGAAA